rnacentral:tmRNA from 1 species
AUACUUGACAUAGCUUGCAGAUCUAAUACACUAAGAACGUAUAUUUUAUACUAUGGCAAUAAAAUUUACCUUGCAAUAGGUGUAUUGGACCCGAGGGCAGUACUCGGCGCCUCCACCAUUUUUAUUAUAUAUGGGGGCGAAUAAGAAUCGACAUGCAAAAUAAAGAUGGUAUUUUUGCUCGGUUAUGCACCACCGAUAAGAGCGCGUAAAGUAAAUGCAAACGAUAAUGUUGCUGCCAAUGGUAAUAGACUGUAUGUUGCUGCUUAAUUAGAGUACAACUAGUUUAAUACUUAAGCACGGUUUUAGGGAACACCGGGUAACAGAAGUUCCCUAAC